rnacentral:rRNA from 1 species
UACGUAGGGGGGCUAGCGUUGUCCGGAAUCAUUGGGCGUAAAGCGCGUGUAGGCGGUCCGGUAAGUCCGCUGUGAAAAGUCGGGGGGCUCAACCCUCGGAUGCCGGUGGAUACUGUCGGGCUUGAGUACGGAAGAGGCGAGUGGAAUUCCUGGUGUAGCGGUGAAAAUGCGCAGAUAUCAGGAGGAACACCAAUUGCGAAGGCAGCUCGCUGGGACGUUACUGACGCUGAGACGCGAAAGCGUGGGGAGCAAACAGG